rnacentral:sRNA from 1 species
UAACUUUAGUUCACUGCCGCGUCGGAAUUUGUCAUUUUUUUCAACGCUUUGAAGUGGAAUAAGUUUAGCCAUGUCUAUAUAAGCGUCGGUACCCGGCGCCUCCACCAAAAACCGGCGGCCUUACAAAGAGAUGGCCGGCUUUUGAUGGGGGCGAAACAGGAUCGACAAGGGUGUAAAGAUCGUCUUUUUGCUCGGCAUUGUACCGCCGUUAUCGGGCUAAAAUUGUAGUUGCAAACGACAACUAUGCGGAAGCUCGUCUCGCUGCUUAAUCGCGGUGUGACACUUCAAAUUAAGUCCUGAAGGUUCGCACCUUAAGGCGGGGUCCGAAGGCACCUGGCA